ACUCCUAUGGGAGGCAGCAGUGGGGAAUAUUGCACAAUGGGCGCAAGCCUGAUGCAGCAAUGCCGCGUGUGUGAAGAAGGCCUGCGGGUUGUAAAGCACUUUCAAUAGGGAAGAAAAGCUUGGGAUUAAUACUCUCAAGUGUUGACAUUAUCUAUACAAGAAGCACCGGCUAACUCCGUGCCAGCAGCCGCGGUAAUA
rnacentral:rRNA from 1 species